GGCAGAGCCUGGGGCUUGUUGCCCUCAUGAAAUACAGCCCGGAGCAGCCUGGGAGCCUCUUUUGGGGUCUGCAGCGGGAUGCGUGGGGACAGCGUGGGGCUGCUGGGGACAGGAACAGCCUGGGCCCAGAAGCAAAGGGGAAGAAGUGCAGCCACUUGCCUUGCAAUCAUAAUUCCUGAAACACCCAUCUGCAUGGCUUGAUUAGCAUCUUCAAAAGACAAAAUAUCACCGUUUCCUGUGCAGAAGGGAGAGAGAAGCCAGAGGUCAAAGCGAUGCACCAGGGCAAGUCAAAAUGAGAUAAUCCAGACAUGGGAUAAAAUUCAGAACGGACACUGUGUCCAGGAGCCACGCUGUCCAAAGAGGCUCCAGGACUCAUGUUUAGAGACUUGCAGGAAUGUUUCUGAUUAAUGUUCCCAUUACAAGGAGGAACAGAGCCUUCUCCUCUCUUCUUCUUCAUUCCCGACUCCUACCCUCCAGGACUCUCUGUGCCACGGUGCCCACAGGAGAAAGCACCUGCUAAAAAGUUGUUUUGUGUCCUGCCUGUCCCUUCCACUCCUGCUUUGCUCAGUCCUCACCACUUCUGGCCCCAAGCACAUCCGCAAAGCUGAAAUGCACAAGACUCACACACUUCAUUCCCUCUGUGGAGUCAUGGGCAGUGGUAGGGACACUCCAACCUUUCCCCCUGGCUGAAUGUCCUUGGGGGCCUGUGUUUUGUUGUGCGUGUUUUUAAAAUAAUAUGUUUCAAACCAGAUAUUGCAGCACAUCUCAGACCCAAUAAACCAGCAACACUUACCAAAAAGAGGCAUAGGGCUUGCUAUUUUAGCACAUUCUGCUAUGUAGUCCCAGUCAGCAACCCUUGUGUA